GUGUCAGCCGCCGCGGUAAUACCAGCCCCGCGAGUGGUCGGGACGUUUAUUGGGCCUAAAGCGCCCGUAGCCGGCCUGGUAGGUCCCCUCCUAAAACCCGGGGCUCAACCCCGGGGGUGGAGGGGAAACCACCAGGCUAGGGGGCGGGAGAGGCCGAGGGUACUCCCGGGGUAGGGGCGAAAUCCGAUAAUCCCGGGAGGACCGCCAGUGGCGAAGGCGCUCGGCUGGAACGCGCCCGACGGUGAGGGGCGAAAGCCGGGGGAGCGAACCGGAUUAGAUACCGGGUAGUCC
rnacentral:rRNA from 1 species